CAUCCAUCCGGGCGCGGAGCGGAGGGGAAGGGGAAGCAGAGUGGCGAGGCGGCGGAGAGGCCGCCGCCGCCGCAGCUGGUCGCCCGAACUGCACUGCACCCUCCACCCACGCCCGUCUCAUCGGCGUACUGGCAGCGAAGAUGCUGGGGUUAUCCUGGAUCUGAAAAAUAAAAUCGACAGUUCGACAGUCUUCUGCUCAUUUUCAACCAAGAGAAGAUGUGGUGCCAUAUGGAUUUGGUUGUCAUUCAAUUGGAACUUUCAUGUGCGUUCAUGAUCCUUUGCUGUUUUUUUUCCUGGAGCUGCAGCAGAGCAGCUUUUGUUGAAUUUCCGGAGCUGAAACAGACAUCUCUGUCUUGAAUUAUUGGCUAAUAGGGACUGCAUGAAAAUGACUCUUCUAUAUGUGCCUUGUGCCAUUGCACUUCUCUUUCUCUUUGCACUGUCCACCUCCUUUUUUUUUUUUUCUUAGGUUUACAUCUACCACUUUUUGCUCUGUCGGCCAAUACCGCUGACUGGAACGACAAGCACACACACUUGGGUCGUGUCCUCAGUCAUGCUGGUCAAUCUUUUCAUGGGUCUCCACAUAGUUCUCUUUUGUUUUUCCAGGUUUUUUUGGAGGUUAAUUACCUGUAUGAUGGAGGGUGCAGUGGCCAGUACUCGACCCAGUCUUCCAGAGGGUUGGCGUAGUGCUUCAGGAACGACCUGGCCUUGCUGAUCCCGUCCCUUGAGCUCGUGUCAUACCUGACAGGCCUUCCGAUGUCGGUUGAUGCAAACAGCUCCUUGUGCUCUGGCGAGAGCUGGAAAAACUCGGAGGCGGCCUCGAACGCCCCUGCCAUGGCAGACUUGCUGACCCCGUGGUUCACCACCUGCCAAUCGUCAGCACAGCUGUAUCGAUCAGCAUUGCUGCAUGUGCUGAUCACUGUGCAGAGACCAGCGAACCAAGUGUUGGGAUGGUACAGACAGAGCAACAGACAAGCAGCACACAGCAGCAAGCACUGACCUGGAAGCACCCUUGCUCACGGCACGCCCGCGCAAUGUCCUGGAUGGCGAGCGUCCGCGUGGCCGGGUCCUUGCCGAGUCUGGCAAGGUUGAUGACCGGCAGCGGCCGCGGUGAGGACGAGGAGGAUGGCAGCAUCCGCUGCACCUGGCUCGCCAUGGAAGCUGGUAAGAAGCAGGCCGGCAUGCCUCGUCGUCAACCUCCAAGCCACCAAUUCAGGCGAGCAAUGCGUGUGAUCUUCCCUAGUCAGUUCAGCUGCUCUCUCCGAGGUCGAGGUGACUGAGAUGAAGAAGCUUGGUACAGUGGAGUGCAUGCCAGGCGACGGACGUAUUUAUAGGCCCUGCCGACUUGCUGAAUCUGCAGCGAAAAGCAGGUACCAGACGAUGGGGACUGCCAGUGGCCAGCGUGGAAAGAAACCCCCUCCGUUUUUUCAGCAAGCUGACCCUGGGCAAAUGCCUUGUACGUAGACUUUUGAGUGCCAGGAUGAUGAAGUGAUGAUACAAGGAAAAGGUCUAGGAAGGGGAAGAUUUCGGUCCAGGAGCAGGCCACGGAGGCCGCGGAGGGGCCCCGGCCGUGCGCGCGUGCGUCCAGAUGAAACAAGAUCUUCCCCCCCAAGCAAGGAGGCACAUCGCUCCGGUUCCUUUCGCUUGGCAGUGGUCACCAGCUGUGGUGGUGGCCAUUUUUCUGUUAUUCUCGCGCCAAGUUGCGCCGGGCACAUACACCGCCCCUCUUACGGUUGACGCGGACUGGACGCGCCCGCACCUCGGCUCCCAGAUAAUGCUUGUUUUUUGGCAGCGACGACGCCGAAUCCACGGCGACCGCCGGGCGCGGUGUGGGACUGGGAGCGGGAGGUUUCCGGUUUCGGCAGCCGGAAGCUGACAAAGCAGCUCUUUUGGGGGGGGGGGGGG